CCUACGGGAGGCAGCAGUGGGGAAUAUUUGGCAAUGGGCGCAAGCCUGACCCAGCAACGCCGCGUGAAGGAAGAAGGCUUUCGGGUUGUAAACUUCUUUUGUCAGGGAAGAGUAGAAGACGGUACCUGACGAAUAAGCCACGGCUAACUACGUGCCAGCAGCCGCGGUAAUACGUAGGUGGCAAGCGUUGUCCGGAUUUACUGGGUGUAAAGGGCGUGUAGCCGGGUUGAAAAGUCAGUUGUGAAAUCCUGCGGCUUAACCGCAGAACUGCAUUUGAAACUGUUGAACUUGAGUACUGGAGAGGCAGACGGAAUUCCUAGUGGAGCGGUGAAAUGCGUAGAUAUUAGGAGGAACACCAGUGGCGAAGGCGGGCUGCUGGACAGCAACUGACGGUGAGGCGCGAAAGCGAGGGGAGCAAAAAGGAUUAGAUACCCUUGUAGUC
rnacentral:rRNA from 1 species